CGAAGCCCCUUCGCAAGGUUUUCGAUGACUACUCGUCGGCAUACUCUGAGCUUCAGUCGGAUGUUCUCCAGGAGAGUUCCGAUUUGGAUUUCUCC